AACGGCCCUACCAUACUGAAUAUACCGGUUCUCGUUAGAUCACCGAAGUUAAGCAUCAUUGGGCGUGGUCAGUACUUGGGUGGGUGACCACCUGGGAACACCGCGUGCUGUU
rnacentral:rRNA from 1 species